rnacentral:rRNA from 1 species
CAGCAGUCGCCGCGGUAAUACGUAGGCAGCGAGCGUUGUUCGGAAUUACUGGGCGUAAAGAGUGUGUAGGCGGUGCUCUAAGUUUGGUGUGAAAUCUCCCGGCUUAACUGGGAGGGUGCGCCGAAGACUGGAGUGCUCGAACGUGGGAGAGGAAAGCGGAAUUCCUGGUGUAGCGGUGAAAUGCGUAGAUAUCAGGAGGAACACCUGCGGUGUAGACGGCUUUCUGGACCAUUGUUGACGCUGAGACACGAAAGCGUGGGUAGCAAACAGGAUUAGAUACCCCAGUAGUCCCUGUCUCUUAUAC